rnacentral:rRNA from 1 species
GUCGUACGCUUCUUUUUCCACCGGAGCUUGCUCCACCGGAAAAAGAAGAGUGGCGAACGGGUGAGUAACACGUGGGUAACCUGCCCAUCAGAAGGGGAUAACACUUGGAAACAGGUGCUAAUACCGUAUAACAAUCGAAACCGCAUGGUUUUGAUUUGAAAGGCGCUUUCGGGUGUCGCUGAUGGAUGGACCCGCGGUGCAUUAGCUAGUUGGUGAGGUAACGGCUCACCAAGGCCACGAUGCAUAGCCGACCUGAGAGGGUGAUCGGCCACAUUGGGACUGAGACACGGCCCAAACUCCUACGGGAGGCAGCAGUAGGGAAUCUUCGGCAAUGGACGAAAGUCUGACCGAGCAACGCCGCGUGAGUGAAGAAGGUUUUCGGAUCGUAAAACUCUGUUGUUAGAGAAGAACAAGGAUGAGAGUAACUGUUCAUCCCUUGACGGUAUCUAACCAGAAAGCCACGGCUAACUACGUGCCAGCAGCCGCGGUAAUACGUAGGUGGCAAGCGUUGUCCGGAUUUAUUGGGCGUAAAGCGAGCGCAGGCGGUUUCUUAAGUCUGAUGUGAAAGCCCCCGGCUCAACCGGGGAGGGUCAUUGGAAACUGGGAGACUUGAGUGCAGAAGAGGAGAGUGGAAUUCCAUGUGUAGCGGUGAAAUGCGUAGAUAUAUGGAGGAACACCAGUGGCGAAGGCGGCUCUCUGGUCUGUAACUGACGCUGAGGCUCGAAAGCGUGUGGAGCAAACAGGAUUAGAUACCCUGGUAGUCCACGCCGUAAACGAUGAGUGCUAAGUGUUGGAGGGUUUCCGCCCUUCAGUGCUGCAGCUAACGCAUUAAGCACUCCGCCUGGGGAGUACGACCGCAAGGUUGAAACUCAAAGGAAUUGACGGGGGCCCGCACAAGCGGUGGAGCAUGUGGUUUAAUUC